GACGAACGCUGGCGGCGUGCUUAACACAUGCAAGUCGAACGGAAAGGCCCUGCUUUUGUGGGGUGCUCGAGUGGCGAACGGGUGAGUAACACGUGAGUAACCUGCCCUUGGCUUUGGGAUAACUUCAGGAAACUGGGGCUAAUACCGGAUAGGAGCUCCUGCUGCAUGGUGGGGGUUGGAAAGUUUCGGCGGUUGGGGAUGGACUCGCGGCUUAUCAGCUUGUUGGUGGGGUAGUGGCUUACCAAGGCUUUGACGGGUAGCCGGCCUGAGAGGGUGACCGGCCACAUUGGGACUGAGAUACGGCCCAGACUCCUACGGGAGGCAGCAGUGGGGAAUAUUGCACAAUGGGCGGAAGCCUGAUGCAGAAACGCCGCGUGCGGGAUGACGGCCUUCGGGUUGUAAACCGCUUUCGCCUGUGACGAAGCGUGAGUGACGGUAAUGGGUAAAGAAGCACCGGCUAACUACGUG
rnacentral:rRNA from 1 species